rnacentral:rRNA from 1 species
UACGAAGGGAGCUAGCGUUGUUCGGAUUUACUGGGCGUAAAGGGCGCGUAGGCGGUCUUGUAAGUCAGAUGUGAAAGCCCUGGGCUCAACCCGGGAACUGCAUUUGAAACUACAAGGCUUGAGUAUGGGAGAGGUAAGUAGAAUUUCCAGUGUAGAGGUGAAAUUCGUAGAUAUUGGAAAGAAUACCAGUGGCGAAGGCGACUUACUGGACCAUAACUGACGCUGAGGCGCGAAAGCGUGGGGAGCAAACAGG